CUGAACCCAACACCACAAAGUGGACGCUCAAGUGCGUAAGAACUGCUCUCAUCACAAUGUCAGAUUGUGCACAAGCCUAUAUAGGUCUGGCAUUGACCGGGCUGGCUUUGAUGAUUUCUGUGUGUCUCCACAUUGUGUUCUGUUUCUGGAGAAGAAUAGAUCAAGGAAAAGAUGCUGAGAAGCACCUGAACAUCUCUUCUGAACAUCAUGUUGAGAGGUGUGAGGAAAAACUACAAAAACAGGAAAAUCAAAUCUAUGGAAAUAUAUGCACAAACAGAAGGGAGUUGGACGCUUUGACAGAAAUUUGCUAUGUGCAGACGACACCCACAGACCACUGCUGAGAUGAAAAGCAAGCCAUCCUCAGAUGCUGGACUUGAACUCAGACAACAGCCCGCAGCCCGCCAAUGACAAUCCCAAAUCCAGGAAUGCCUGCAACUGAGGUCUAUUAUGAAGGCCCAACUGAUGCUUCUGUCCAGAACCACAGUUUGAGCUUUAGAUAAUCCUUUGAGUUCGUUCUUAGGCUAUCUUUUUCUUUUUUAGGCCAGUCAAUCUAGCCCCAAAAAACAAAACAUUUGCAACAGAAAUGUCUCAUAGUUUUAUUGGUCCUAAUACCCUCCUGAAUCAUAUGCUAAAAGUCUACCGUCGUAGAUGGAGUGGAAUAUAUAUUUUUUUCGAGAUUAAAGGCCAAAGUUGUGCCCAACAAGUAAAUUGAGUAGAAUAGGGGAAAAUGUUCAAUUAAUAGCUAUCACUAUGAAACGUCUCCAGUUGAUUAGUGACAUUAUACCAAAGAAAAAAUAUAUUACAAGUUUUUGAGAUUUUAUGUUUAUAUUAUGCAAAUUAGGCAUUUAUUCAUAAAAUACCAUAACGUCUCUGCACACUGUGUAAGCUAGGGAGCAGUCGAGGCCAGACUUGAACUUGCAGCGCAAAAGCUCGAACAAAGAUGAGGUGAAAUUCAGCCAAUCAGCAUUUGGCAAAUAGCUACUUACCAUAUUUAGAAGGAGGGAAAAACUAUAAAAAGUAAGGUGUGAGACACAUCAGGGCUCCGUUCCAGUUUUCACCUGUUUUUGGUCUGACAACUUUUUGCUGCCAUUAGAGCAGAGCUAGAGUAGGGACCUUAUUGCAUUUUAUACAUUUACAUUUUAUUUCUUACCUGUAAUUUUUAAAAAAAUAUAUACUUUAUAUUUUGG